rnacentral:rRNA from 1 species
UUAUUUAAGAGCUAAAUAUUGUAAGUAUAUAAUAAUUACGAAAGCAAAAAAUUAUGGCGGUAUUUUAAGCUUUUCAGAGGAAUUUGCUCUUUAAUGGAUAAAACACCUAAAUCUUACUUAAAUUUGUUAAAUCAACUUGUAUACCACUAUUAAAACAAUUAUUAACUCUAAUUGUUAAUAUUUAAAACAUAAAUUAAUUUAAAUUAAGUCAAGGUGCAGUAAAAAUUUAAGAAUGAAGUGAAUUACAUUACUUUUAAGGGAAAUAAAAUUAAAUAAAGUUUAGGAUUUGAAAGUAAAAUUAAAAUAGAAUGUUAGUUUGAAUUAAGCUCUAAAAUAUGUACAUAUC